UACAGAGGGUGCAAGCGCUGUUCGGAAUUACUGGGCGUAAAGCGCGUGUAGGCGGUCUGCCAAGUCUGAUGGGAAAGCCCUGGGCUCAACCCAGGAAGUGCGUCAGAUACUGGUGGACUGGAGUGGCGGAGAGGAUGGCGGAAUUCCCGGUGUAGAGGUGAAAUUCGUAGAUAUCGGGAGGAACACCUGUGGCGAAGGCGGCUUCCUGGCCUGUUCUUGACGCUGAGGCGCGAAAGCUAGGGGAGCAAACGGG
rnacentral:rRNA from 1 species